CAGUCGCCGCGGUAGUACGUAUGUCACGAGCGUUAUCCGGAUUUAUUGGGCGUAAAGCGCGUCUAGGUGGUUAUAUAAGUCUGAUGUGAAAAUGCAGGGCUCAACUCUGUAUUGCGUUGGAAACUGUAUAACUAGAGUACUGGAGAGGUAAGCGGAACUACAAGUGUAGAGGUGAAAUUCGUAGAUAUUUGUAGGAAUGCCGAUGGGGAAGCCAGCUUACUGGACAGAUACUGACGCUGAAGCGCGAAAGCGUGGUUAGCAAACAGGAUUAGAUACCCCGGUAGUCCCUGUCUCUUAUACA
rnacentral:rRNA from 1 species